rnacentral:ncRNA from 1 species
UUAUGAUAUGAAAGUAAAGUAGGCCAGCAUUCCAUUUGAUUAGGGUAGGAAAAGUCCUAGUGAGCUUAACAACAAAUAUACAUUUAAGACCUGGCUACCUACUUUGUGGCAUCGAAUGACAUCAUUGU